AGUGAACGCUGGCGGUAGGCUUAACACAUGCAAGUCGAACGGCAGCACAGUAAGAGCUUGCUCUUACGGGUGGCGCGUGGCGGAGGGGUGAGGUAUAUAUCGGACUCUAUUUUUUCGUGGGGGAUAACGUAGGGAAAUUUACGCUAAUACCGUACAUGCUCUACGGGUGAAAGCAGGAGAUCUUCGGAUCUUGCGAGUAUGUAUGAGCCGAUGUCGGAUUUGCUAGUUGGCGGGGUAAAGGCCCACCAAGGCGACGAUCGGUAGCUGGUCUGAGAGGAUGAUCGGCCACACGGGAACGGGAACACGGUCCAGACUCCUACGGAGGGCAGCAGUGGGGAAUAUUGGACAAUGGGCGCAAGCCUGAUCCAGCCAUGCCGCGUGGGUGAAGAAGGCCUUCGGAUUGUAAAGCCCUUUUAUUGGGGAAGAAAAGCAGCAGAUUAAUACCCCGCUGUUCUGACGGUACCCAAAGAAUAAGCACCGGCUAACUUCGUG
rnacentral:rRNA from 1 species